rnacentral:lncRNA from 1 species
GGGGCGCGGGAGGGGCGCUGCGAGGAAGGCGAGGCGGCUAACGGCUCGCCUCAAGUUGUUGCUCCCGCUGGCGAUCCGCUUCUGUCAGUCUCGCUGCUGGUGUCGUUGAGUGUGUUUCGGGAUGUCCUUGCGCCUAACAGCAGUGAGGCGCAGAAUUGGCCCACGCCCUCACCUGCGGCUUGCUUCGCAGGACUCCACCCCAGGAUAAAAGUUCCCCUCGGGUCAUCUUCCAGCUGCCCUCAAAAGACACUCAUUUUUGGGUUUCACUGCUCCUCUUUAAGAGAGCUAUCUUGAACACUUUGACUAAAAGCAUCUUGCUCCUGUAAGCCUGAACUAAUGCCUCUCAUCCGUUUAUCUUGCCUCUUACUGCGUUAAGAUCCCCGCUCACUCCCACUGAUGAAAUAUCACAAGGACGCAGGAUUUUCACGUUGUCUUUCAUUUCCACGAUGGUAUCAUGGCAAAAAAACCCCCAACUGAUAAGGAAAAGUCACCGCAGCUUUGUGACAUCUUACUAGCCCUGAUCAUUGCUUAUAAGCCGGUCAUACGAAUGCUGUUCCAACAGAUGCAAGAAAUUGCUAUUAAAAUUAAAAUGCCAGCGAACUAUCUGAGGGCUUCAAAAGGGACAGACCAUAAUUGCAAAUGAGGCCUGAUAAACUGCCAAGAAUAUAUCACCCAAAAAAAUAAAUCUCAAGAAUUCUUCCAGUUCCCUGAUGCGUAAUGGUGAACUAGCUUCCUGUUCCUGAUGGUAAUUGACAUUUCACUUCACUUGCUGAUUUCCAUUUUCCCAUAGAAUUACCAUUUGUGCUUGUGUGUGUGUAUAUAUAUAUGUAUAUAUAAAAUGCCUUACCACCUGAGAUUACAAGCUAGAGUAGUUCUUCAGUGUGCAUCACAAUUAUCUGGGGUGCUUGUUGAAAUGUAGGUACCUGGAGCUACAACCCCCAGGUAUUUUGAUUCUGAUCUGGGUAGGGAUAAGAAAUUUGAAUUUUUAAUAAGCAGCCCAGGUGACACUAAAAGUGGUUAGCUGAGAGCACAGAGCUAUAGUUUUUGUGUUACUACUCUAAAGCCAUAUUACCAAUUCAAUUUCCAAGAAACCCACCCACUUACAUAUAAUAUACCUAUAAAUAUUGCUAAGACAGUCAUGUAGCUUCCUUUUUCAAGAUUGACCUACAAAGUUCAGUACUUCAAACAACGAGUUUAAUUGUCAUGUUUAUUUUAUGAAAUCUUGUUUUAAUACCAGAAAUAAGCAAUCAUAUGUCAGGUACGUAAUUCACUGGGUAACUAUGAUGUACAGAGCACUAUCACCUACAGUUGGGUUAACACAAAUGAAAUUGAAGAAAUGAAUAUCGCUGUUCUCAAUAAAGUUAGUGUCUAGUUGUGGAAUUAAAA